GGUGAACGCUGGCGGUAGGCCUAACACAUGCAAGUCGAACGGCAGCACAGGAGAGCUUGCUCUCUGGGUGGCGAGUGGCGGACGGGUGAGGAAUACAUCGGAAUCUACUUUUUCGUGGGGGAUAACGUAGGGAAACUUACGCUAAUACCGCAUACGACCUACGGGUGAAAGCAGGGGACCUUCGGGCCUUGCGCGAUUGAAUGAGCCGAUGUCGGAUUAGCUAGUUGGCGGGGUAAAGGCCCACCAAGGCGACGAUCCGUAGCUGGUCUGAGAGGAUGAUCAGCCACACUGGAACUGAGACACGGUCCAGACUCCUACGGGAGGCAGCAGUGGGGAAUAUUGGACAAUGGGCGCAAGCCUGAUCCAGCCAUACCGCGUGGGUGAAGAAGGCCUUCGGGUUGUAAAGCCCUUUUGUUGGGAAAGAAAUCCAGCUGGCUAAUACCCGGUUGGGAUGACGGUACCCAAAGAGUAAGCACCGGCUAACUUCGUGCCAGCCGCCGCGGUAA
rnacentral:rRNA from 1 species